rnacentral:rRNA from 1 species
AUUGAACGCUGGCGGCAGGCCUAACACAUGCAAGUAGAACGAGUGGCGGACGGGUGAGUAAUGUCUGGGAAACUGCCCGAUGGAGGGGGAUAACUACUGGAAACGGUAGCUAAUACAGCAUACAAUGGGAUGGGCCCAGAUGGGGUUGGCUUGUGUGUGAGGUAACGGCUCACCUAGGCGAGGAUCCCUAGCUGGUCUGAGAGGAUGACCAGCCACACUGGGACUGAGACACGGUCCAGACUCCUACGGGAGGCAGCAGUGGGGAAUAUUGCACAAUGGGCGCAAGCCUGAUACAGCCAUGCCGCGUUUAUGAAGAAGGCCUUCGGGUUUUAAAGUACUUUCAGCUGGGCGGCGUUACCCUCAGAAGAAGCACCGGCUAACUCCGUGCCAGCAGCCGCGGUAAUAC